UUGGGCGUAAAGCGUUCGUAGGCGGUUUGUUAGGUCUGGAGUUAAAGACUGGGGCUCAACCCCAGCCCGCUCUGGAUACUGGCUGACUAGAGUUACAUAGAGGUAAGUGGAAUUCUUAGUGGAGCGGUGGAAUGCGUAGAUAUUAGGAAGAACACCAAUGGCGAAGGCAGCUUACUGGAUGUACACUGACGCUCAGGGACGAAAGCGUGGGGAGCAAACAGGAUUAGAUACCCUGGUAGUCCACGCCGUAAACGAUGAUCAUUAGCCGCUAGAAUAUUUAGUGGCGCAGCUAACGCAUUAAAUGAUCCGCCUGAGUAGUAUGCUCGCAAGAGUGAAACUUAAAGGAAUUGACGGGGACCCGCACAAGCGGUGGAGCAUGUGGUUUAAUUUGAAGAUACGCGUAGAACCUUACCCACUCUUGACAUCUUCCGCAAUACUAUGGAGACAUAGUGGAGGUUAACGGAAUGACAGAUGGUGCAUGGUUGUCGUCAGCUCGUGCCGUGAGGUGUUAGGUUAAGUCCUGCAACGAGCGCAACCCCUGUCUUUAGUUACUAACGGAUAAUGCCGAGGACUCUAGAGAGACUGACUGGGUAACCAGUAGGAAGGUGGGGACGACGUCAAAUCAUCAUGCCUCUUACGAGUGGGGCAACACACGUGCUACAAUGGACGGUACAAAGAGAAGCAAUAUGGUGACAUGGAGCAAACCCCAAAAAACCGUUCUCAGUUCGGAUUGAAGUCUGAAACUCGACUUCAUGAAGUUGGAAUCGCUAGUAAUCGUAGAUCAGCUACGSUACGGUGAAUACGUUCUCGGGUCUUGUACACACCGCCCGUC
rnacentral:rRNA from 1 species